UCUGAGCUGUCAGCACAGAGCCUGACGCAGGACAUGAACUAAUGGACUGCAAAAUCAUGACCUGAGCCAAAGUGGCCGCUUAACCGACUGAGCCACCUAGGUGUCCCAGAAAUGUGCUUGCUCUCUUAGAAGAUGUGCUAAACAGUUGAAUUAGAGAAGGUUAAUGCUGGACUGAAGUUUAGGUACAUUCCCUUCUCUUUAAUGCAAAUACUGGGAAGUUAAGUGCCAUUGAAAGCCUGGCAGAGAUGGGACUAGAGUAUAGGCCCCUUUCCUGUUCGCCAUUGUUAGACUUUUCUAGACAGCUUUGUUUAAGACUAACCCUCCAGAAGAACAAGUCAGGACAGAGCCUGAGGAGUCAAAGUAGUCUGGUUCAUGUUGGGGGCUGUAGAAGGGGUGGGCUCUGAGGACUUCAUCUACCCCAAAAUUUCUGGGCCCCUUUGUUUUUCCCUCUGCCUAGUUUCCCUUCCCCCCAGGGCCAUCACUAACCAUAUCUCCCUCUUCUUUGCCACUAAUGGUGGAAAGCUUAAGAGAGUAGUUGUCAAGCAGAGUGAUGGUUCUAGAAGACAAUAUACAGUUUAUCAAUAUUGAAUUUUGUAGCUCGCCUCUGCCACUACCAUUGUAGGGAGCUGGCCGGGCUUGGCAAUGCUAUUUGAUAAUAGAAUAAUCAUCAUUUAUAUCGCAGCUCUGGAGAGCUUCUGCUACUGACAGUGGCUUGGUGCCUGGGUGUUAAAGAGGUAAAACAGGCUCCAGAAGGGAAAGUGAACCGGGUUGAAAUCCUUGACCCUGGAAAGCUAGACUUUGGCCUCUGUCACUGACCACUGAGAGGGGGUAAUUUAACAAAGAUGGCACCCAAUAAAAGCAGCCCCAAAAUGCUUUCUUUAAAAAUGUGUCCUAGGAGAACAUCUAAGUUUACCUCUGGCUGUCUAGUUGGGUAAUUGACUCUACUUUGUCCUCCCUUUAUUAGAUGGUCCCUCAGCUGGAGGUGUAGCUAGCAGGUGGACAGUGGGUCACACUCAAGUGGCUCUGUCAGCCCAGGGCCAAAGGGUUAUCCUGUCAGAAACCUGGGAAGAAAGGAGGAGAUGGGGUUAGCGGGCGUGUUCAUAGACUUUUAGAGCUCCAAAGGAAGGACCUUAUCAUUCCUGGAUAUUUUUUUUUUUUUAAUGUUUAUUCAUUUAUUUUGAGAGAGAGAGAGAGAGUAUGUGCAUGUGCCACCCAGGUGCCCCAUUCUCAGAUAUUUGGAUGUAAAUCUUUUUUGGCAAAUCAAACUUGUAUUUCACAGCUAUUCUCUCUUUAAAAUGGGGGUGGUGAGUAUCUUGUGAAGAGAGUCAUCAGUCUUGUGAAGUUGUUGGGGCCGGGGUGGGUGUGAAGUGGGAUGGAUUUCACAUAUAGGACCCAGAAAGCAAAAGCAAUUCAGUAAUGUUCUUCGACAUUUGAAAUAAGCUGGACUCCACCUUUCUCCAUUGUUUCCAGUUCCUGAAGGGCCUUGCAAGAAAAGAGGAGCUCACACUGUAGCAGGAGGGUAGAUGUUCAGAAGCUCAAGGAGGCUGUGGGUCCUGGAAGGUCUCUGAAGCCGGCUCCAGGGUCUCCUCACUAGUGAGUCAUGUAUCCCUGCAACUUGAAGACAGCCUGCCCUCUCAAAGACUCUGAUGGAGAAGUUAAGUGACCUCAGGGACUCCAUAUGCCAAAGUGAGAAGGAGAGGCAAAGGGAACGUUGCUAAGAAUACAGUAGGAAAUGUCCCAGGAGGCAUUUGGGGUUUCUUGACCAGAAUAAGGUUAAGGUCAUGAGAGAGUAGAACCUUUGGGUUGAAAGCAAUAGUAUAUGGGGGCAGGGGGGAGCAGGGACAGGGCACUCUAGAAGACAAGUUCUGAAUCCAGGGUAUCAGGAGCACUUGGGAGCUUUUGUAAAACACAAACUCCUGCCCCCAUCCCCACUUCCACAGAAAGAUAGGUUAGACUCUCCAGAGGCAGGGAAAUGCUGCAGGGUUCCAAAGGUGGGGGUGGAAGAGAGCGGGCAACAGGGGAAAAAGACUAGGCCUGGGCCUUAGUCAACAGAGAGAAGGAGUCUGGGUGAAGCUCUUUAAGAGCAUAUGUAACUGAUAAAUCCUAUGUCGGGCUGGUCCUAGAGUUUUAAGUCCUCUCCUAUUCUAAAGGUCAGGAAAUUCUGGUCCUAAUGUCAGUGCUGUCAUCUAGUGGCUGUGUGAUCUUAAGCAAAUCACUUCACCUUUCUGAGUCUCAGUUGCUUCUGUUGUAAAAUUAAGGAAUGGUUGCUAAGGUCUCUUUCCAGCUCUGAAAGUGUAAGUCUAUGGUGCUAAAGAUUGUUAUGGCUUCUCCAUCAUGAGCUGGUGUAUCACAUUCAGAAGACCAGAGCCUAGGUGCUCUUCCUUUCUUUGUGGACUGUUGGGAUUCAGCUGACCUGGGACCAGCUAGUCUGUCUGCCAGCUUCCAGGCCAGAGCCACGCCUAAUUACUUGAUAGAGCUUUCCCCAAAGUGGAGCACUGCUUCUGUGUGAAUAGAAUUAAUUAAAUUAGAAAAUAUAAAAUGAGGGUUCCAUGGCCCAAUGAAUUUGAGUAUCUGGGUUAAACACAUUUAACAUUUUCUUUUUUCUCAGGACUUCUCAGAGCAUCAACGAACCAGUAUGCAUUUUGAAUCUCUUAAAGGGGGAAUAAACAGAAUUUCCCAAACAAAUUUGAUCGUGGGAUCCACUUUUCUAAGGAGCAACCCUUAAAAACAGCAACAACUCCAAGUUAGAUGGUCCUUACUCCCUUUUUCCCCAAAUUCUUGACCUUCAAGAUGGGAAGGAGUGUUUCCACUCUUCCUCCUCUGGAAUCCCAAAGGCAGUCUUUUGUCACAGUCUCCCUAGCGCAGCCUUGCAGGCAGUGCCAAUGAUUUUUGCUAAUUGCUAUUGAAUUCCCAUUGAAUUGACACCCCUCACAAUUCCCCAUGUCAGUCCCCCAUGCCUCCCUGCAGCAGAUGCUCACAGAUUGCCCCCUUUACCUCAAUAUCUGAGAGGUAGAGACAGACAAGUCAACAUGGGCUCCUCUGAGCCCAGAGCUUCCUCUUGGUGGCUUGGUCUGAGGAUCACUGUGGCUGGAUUGACAGGUAGUAGCUGUUGAUUCUCUGGUUUGGGGUUAAUUUUCUAUAAGAGACAGGAAGAAAGCUGCCGGAGUCCCUCACCUUAGGAAUAUAUACGUCCUGGGAUGGAAAGGCAUGGGGAGCGGAGCGACAGACGGAGAGAGGCUUGAGGACACAGAGGAGGAAGCGUGCCAUUGCCAAGACCCCAAGGAAGAAGGACAGAGAGCGCUGGCAGUCCUGUCUGGCCCCCAGCCAGUUUCCUGCUGAAGAUGGCCAAAUCCUCUUGCCUGGUCUGUGCUGCUCAUCUGGGUCCUGUAGCGCCGCUGCCCCAUUCCAUCUGGAACCCCGACCCCACUUCCUGUUCCUCCACUGCUUCCCCCAGCCCCAGGAGACUCUGGUUCGGCCAGACUGGAAGCAGACGAAUCGCUGAGAUCCCCUGCAGAUGGACUGCAAGCCUCGCUCUCUGGUGAAGCUUUAGAAGGUUCCUCUGUAGCCUCUUCCUCACUGGGUGGAGGGGGAGGUGGGAGAGGUAGAGGUGGCUCUGGUGUUGGGGUGGUGGCCUCCUUCCCAGGUGGUAGGAAAGCCAGGGGACCGGCAGCAGGAGUAACUGGUGGGUAGGGAAAAGCAGGUGCUUCCCGCUUUGGGGCUUCCCUCCCAGAUCCAUCAUCUACCUUGCCCAACAAGAGGUUGAACUUGGGGAAGGCUGCAGGGGCAGGAGUGAUGGGGGGCUUGACGGCUGGAUUGGGCACCCCCCCAGGGGUGCUUCGAAACUGGCCUUUCCUCUCCCGGGCCCUGGUGUUCUGGAACCAGACCUGCACCACCCGCUUUUUGAGUCCCACCUCCUCGGAGAUGCAGUCGAGCAUCUUGCGCGUUGGGUUGGAGUCUUGCAUGUACCAACGGUACAGGAUCUCCAGCUGCUCGGGCAGGAUGGUGGCUUUCCCUUCCUAUGGAAGCUAACAUGCUCCGGGGGGUUACUUUCUUCAGAGAUUUCUCACCACCUGAUAUUUCCUGGUUUACUUACUUCUCCCUUCUAGACGAUGAGGCAGCCAAGAAACAGGUUGAGUGAGCUGCUGUCACACAACUCCAAGGAGGGGAAACCAGAGGACUGGCGGGGCACAGAGACCUGGGCCCUCCAUCUACCUGGAUCGUCCCUCAGACCCAGGAAAGGCCAAAUGAGCCUCCAGAGGUCUAGCAGUCAGAAUUCCGGGGCUCCCUCCAGCUACUGGAAACGCCAGGCCUCCCACACGGUUCCCAGCCUUUUUACCUUGAUUACCACACCUUCCUCCCCCUCCGCAACCCCCCCCCACCCUGCUUCCCGUCCCCACCAAACUCACCAGUUCCCCAU